UUUUCCUACGGGGGGCAGCAGUGGGGAAUAUUGGGCAAUGGACGCAAGUCUGACCCAGCAACGCCGCGUGAAGGAAGAAGGCUUUCGGGUUGUAAACUUCUCUUAAGGGGGAAGAGCAGAAGACGGUACCCCUUGAAUAAGCCACGGCUAACUACGUGCCAGCAGCCGCGGUAAUACGUAGGGGGCAAGCGUUAUCCGGAUUUACUGGGUGUAAAGGGAGCGUAGGCGGUUUAGCAAGUCAGAAGGGAAAGCCCGGGGCUCAACUCCGGGACUGCUUUUGAAACUGUUGAACUAGAUUGCAGGAG
rnacentral:rRNA from 1 species